rnacentral:rRNA from 1 species
UACGGGGGGGGUAAGCGUUGUUCGGAAUUACUGGGCGUAAAGGGCUCGUAGGCGGCCAACUAAGUCAGACGUGAAAUCCCCAAGCUUAACUUGGGAACUGCAUCCGAUACUGGAUGGCUUGAAUCCGGGAGAGGGAUGCAGAAUUCCAGGUGUAGCGGUUAAAUGCGUAGAUAUCUGGAGGAAUACCGGUGGCGAAGGCGGCAUCCUGGACCGGCAUUGACGCUGAGGAGCGAAAGCUAGGGGAGCAAACGGG